rnacentral:rRNA from 1 species
GGGUGAACCUGCGGAGGGAUCAUUAC